rnacentral:rRNA from 1 species
GGCUCCUAGGGGCGCAGCAGUGGGGGAUAUUGCACAAUGGGCGAAAGCCUGAUGCAGCGACGCCGCGUGAGGGAAGACGGUCUUCGGACUGUAAACCUCUGUCUUUGGGGAAGAAAUCAGACGGUACCCAAAGAGGAAGCUCCGGCUAACUACGUGCCAGCAGCCGCGGUAAUACGUAGGGAGCGAGCGUUGUCCGGAAUUACUGGGUGUAAAGGGAGCGUAGGCGGGCUUGUAAGUUGAAUGUCUAAUCCACCGGCUCAACCGGUGAUCGCGUUCAAAACUGCAGGUCUUGAGUGAAGUAGAGG